GGGAGUUGGAGUUUGUUGGUUGUGCUGUGUGGAGCUGCGUGUGAGAAAUUGCUGAGAAGAUCCCAAAUGAAUUGGGACCUUUGCCUUCCAACCCAGCUCCUCAUGAACUGAGUAAUCCUGCAAGCCUUUUAACUCUGCUUGGUCAUUUCACAGAGGAUGACUUCUCCCAUCUCUUGUCUUCUGGACAAAUCUGCUUCCUCACAAGUCCCAGUUGUAAGAUCACAGAUAACUCCCUGCUCACUUUAUAGAAAGACACACUGAGAGGUGACUGAGUUCAGCUAAGAUAAGUCUCAGUCCAGCAGCUUCUGCAGCUUUUACAACCAGAGAAAGAGGAAAGUUAACCCGUUGCACAGUCUGUCCUCAGAUCACGAAUCAAGUCCCCUCUGGACCCUAGUAAAGUAUGAAGGUUGUGGAAUGCAUUGCUACUUGCACUUUGUUCUGCACCUGAAAUGAAAUGAACAAACCUGAAAUGGAACUCACUUGUGUCAUUGAUGGGUUCAAAGCAGAGUGAUUCUGUUGUUUGCUUUGGAGUGAACUGUAUUUACACUAGAGUACUUGAUUUGGAGCUAUGCAGGAAAACAAGGCUCGUGUCUCUUGAGGUACACAGGGUUCCUUAUCAGCAAGGCAUUUAGUACUCCACCUGACACCUGGGUGUGUUUGCAGGCUUAUAUACUCAUAAAAACUUGUGUGAACAAAGUUUAGGGCAUGUAGCUGGCCACAGAAAAUGAUUUUUUUUUUUAAGUGAAUGACUGUGAUUUCCUUUUUCAGAAACCAAGACAGUUGGAUAGCAUUUUCUAACAUAUUGAGUCCACUCAAAAUGUAACAUUCUAGAUAACAUAACUCUAUUUUGAUCAAGAGAAAAUAUUUCAAUUUAGGUUCUGCUGGUCAAAAUUCAAAGUUUACACACUUCUUCUAAGCUUCUCCGUUUGCCACUGAAUCUUAAAAUCAAACACAUAUAGAUAAAAAUGAAGACUAUCAACUACCAUGGUGCUGUAAAUUGAAAUGUUAAUUAUCAAAAAGAAUGCAUGCAUAUAAAUUGCUUUUAAGAUCUAGAUUAAGAAAUUAUCUUUCAACCAUUAAAGACAAUAUAAUCUGUGGAGGAAGAGUGCCUACAGCAGCGGAUAUAGACCCAAGAGAAAAGCCACUGGAUAUGUUAUUUUAGCAUUUAGUAGAUAGAAGGGGUUAGCAAAGUAGUAUCUGGCUGCUGAAAGAAAGCCUGAAUGGAGGAUGUGGGUUGGGAAAUGAACAUCAAACCAAGGAAAUAAAUAGUUCUUGGAAACCAGGAUGCCAAAGCCAUGGCAAUCAAGUCA